rnacentral:tRNA from 1 species
GAGAGUGUAGCUCAGUCGGUAGAGCACCAGGUUGUGGCCCUGGUGGCCGUGGGUUCAAGUCCCAUCACUCUCC